AGCUCAGUUGGUAGAGCAUCGGACUGAAAAUCCGUGUGUCCCCGGUUCGAUUCCUGGA
rnacentral:tRNA from 1 species